rnacentral:tRNA from 1 species
GAGGGUAUAGCUCCGUGGUAGAGCACAUGCUUAGCAUACUUGAGGUUCUAGGUUCAAUCCCCAGUACCUCCU